rnacentral:rRNA from 1 species
UACGAAGGGGGCUAGCGUUGUUCGGAAUUACUGGGCGUAAAGCGCGCGCAGGCGGUCCUUUAAGUCGGGGGUGAAAGCCCAGAGCUCAACUCUGGAACUGCCUUCGAAACUAGAGGACUUGGGUACGGGAGAGGUGAGUGGAAUUCCGAGUGUAGAGGUGAAAUUCGUAGAUAUUCGCAAGAACACCAGUGGCGAAGGCGGCUCACUGGCCCGGUACUGACGCUGAGGCACGAAAGCGUGGGGAGCAAACAGG